rnacentral:rRNA from 1 species
UACGUAGGGUGCAAGCGUUGUCCGGAAUUAUUGGGCGUAAAGAGCUCGUAGGCGGUCUGUCGCGUCGGAUGUGAAAACCCAGGGCUCAACCCUGGGCCUGCAUUCGAUACGGGCAGACUAGAGUUCGGUAGGGGAGACUGGAAUUCCUGGUGUAGCGGUGAAAUGCGCAGAUAUCAGGAGGAACACCGGUGGCGAGGGCGGCCAACUGGUCCGGAUCUGACGCUGAGGCGCGAAAGCGUGGGGAGCAAACAGG